rnacentral:rRNA from 1 species
AUUGAACGCUGGCGGCAGGCCUAACACAUGCAAGUCGAGCGGAUGAAGGGAGCUUGCUCCUGGAUUCAGCGGCGGACGGGUGAGUAAUGCCUAGGAAUCUGCCUGGUAGUGGGGGAUAACGUCCGGAAACGGGCGCUAAUACCGCAUACGUCCUGAGGGAGAAAGUGGGGGAUCUUCGGACCUCACGCUAUCAGAUGAGCCUAGGUCGGAUUAGCUAGUUGGUGGGGUAAAGGCCUACCAAGGCGACGAUCCGUAACUGGUCUGAGAGGAUGAUCAGUCACACGGGAACUGGGACACGGUCCAGACUCCUACGGGAGGGAGCAGUGGGGAAUAUUGGACAAUGGGCGAAAGCCUGAUCCAGCCAUGCCGCGUGUGUGAAGAAGGUCUUCGGAUUGUAAAGCACUUUAAGUUGGGAGGAAGGGCAGUAAGUUAAUACCUUGCUGUUUUGACGGUACCAACAGAAUAAGCACCGGCUAACUUCGUG